GGAGCUGUGCCUGAAACAAAGGGCCACUUUGAUAGAGUGAAUUACGGGAGUUAAAGUCCCCCCAGCUCCU
rnacentral:tRNA from 1 species